GCUGAGGGCCCAGCCUGUGCACAGUGCACAGCUUUAACUGCGUGGUAAAGCUCUAGCAUUCGCAUUACAAGCACUAACGCCAACAUCUGGUGCUUUUGCCCUGUAAUUGCAGUAGCAUCACCUGCACUGGAGCUGUGCUUUGACUCCCACUGACACUUUUGGUGAGGGAAUUCCUGCCACCUUCUCCAGCCGCACGUGAAGACCCCACACAUCGAGCUUCCACAAAGGAAUAUAAAUAUCCAGAAACACAGCUUGAAAGAAAUUAGGAGUCACUACUGCCCACUCAUGCAUGGAAUGAAGCACAUCUCCUGCAGAAAAGUAAAAUGUGAAUGCAAGAUCCUGUGACAUGACAGAAAAAUCAGGUUUUCGUAUUUCCCAUUCAGCAUACACUGAGUAUGCAGCAUACAGUGGGGUACGGCCCUGGCAAGAACCUCAGCAACAUGAGGUAAUGCAGUGCAGUAAG